AGAGUUUGAUCCUGGCUCAGGAUGAACGCUAGCUACAGGCUUAACACAUGCAAGUCGAGGGGAAACGACAUCGAAAGCUUGCUUUUGAUGGGCGUCGACCGGCGCACGGGUGAGUAACGCGUAUCCAACCUGCCCAUCACUUGGGGAUAACCUUGCGAAAGUAAGACUAAUACCCAAUGACGUCUCUAGAAGACAUCUGAAAGAGAUUAAAGAUUUAUCGGUGAUGGAUGGGGAUGCGUCUGAUUAGCUUGUUGGCGGGGUAACGCCACCAAGGCGACGAUCAGUAGGGGUUCUGGAGAGGAAGUCCCCCCANAUUGGAACUGAGACACGGUCCAAACUCCUACGGGAGGCA
rnacentral:rRNA from 1 species